UUCAUGCAAUUUGAUUAACCUAAUAAUCCUUCUUGCCCACUCUCCAGGCAGCCUUUCGCCUUCGAUUUGCUUCGGCUUCGCUGCCUUUAUACCCUCUUAUCCUGCCCUCCAUCUCGAUCUCGCCCUUGAGACCAAUAGCUAGGGCUCUGGCGCUUUGCUACCAUACUUGAAUGCUUUGCUGCCUAUUCAUUUCUUCUGCUCACCGACCGAAGACCAGGUAGGGUUUCAACUUUUCAGUUUUGGUUUUUGUAUUGGCUCUUUAGUCUCUUUGCAGCACGCACGGGAGACAUCGGUUGAUUAGAAGAAAAGGGGAUCUGACAUCCCUAGAUCACGAGUAUCGCAGAAGCAGAGAAGGACCAGAGGCGAGCAUGAAGAUAGCAGCCGCGAUUCAGGUACAAUCUCUAUUACUUACCAGGAAACAUUCGUUUUCCAUUCCGAAAAAUUAGGGCACUAACCAGUCUCACAGAUUGUGGAACUCCGGACUGGCUUAAGGUUAAUGUUGACGGGGCGGUCCUUCAGGAUGAGAACAGGAGGGCUCAUUUGUGCAAUGGCCAUCACUUGCAACAUUAGGACAGCCGUUUUGUGGAACUCCAGGCUAUUCUAUCUAUUUGCAACAUCUUCCAGCUGUAGAUGUUCGAGACCAGAGGCAUCAUCGUGGAGAGCGGUAACAUCAAUGUCAUCAAUUACAUGAGGAGAUCGAUGGGUCAUGGAAGCUGAAAGGAAAACGUGGAUCAACGCCACAAGUUUAUUUUUUUCA